GGCGUCUCUCUCUGUUCAAGUGUUCCUGGUAUGUGAUGAUCCAGUCUAGAGUCUGAAUCUCCUCCUCCUGACUUCAGAGGAGCUUCAUGACAGAGAACACUUUGGUUCCAGCUGAGACCGUCAGACUGAACACAACUCACUAAACUGUAUUCAUACUGAUCCUUCAGUUACAGUAUCUUCCCUAUGAGGCAUGGACAAACUCAUUGCUGUUCUGCUUUUGUCUUCUGUCAUGGGUGUGAGCUGUGAAGAUCUCACUGCAGAGAGGAAAGAAGAGUCCGCUUUAGAGAACAGCUCUGUUACUCUGUCCUUCAGAUACUAUAAGACGUUUUCUGCUGGGGAUGAAUUUUACUGGUACAGACAAUACUCAGGAGAACCACCAGAGUUUCUUUACUAUAUCUCAGGAGGUAAUUAUUCAAGACCAGCAGAAUCUCUACAACCAGACUCUAAGGUCUCUACAAAGCUGUCUGAAGGAAACCAUCUGGAUCUCCAGAUCUCCUCUGCUGCACUGAGUGACUCUGCUGUGUACUACUGUGCUGUGAGGCCCACAGUGACAGGAAACACCAACACUCUGUACAAAAACCUUUGGAGCAAACACAACACAAUACUCCACAACAUCCACUAGAGGGAGACAUCAUCAAGCAGGUGUUGCUCUUCCUCUGUGUUCAACC